ACGCUCAACACCUACGAGAGGCAGCAGUAGGGAAUCUUCCACAAUGGGCGCAAGCCUGAUGGAGCAACACCGCGUGAGUGAAGAAGGGUUUCGGCUCGUAAAGCUCUGUUGUUGGAGAAGAACGUGCGUGAGAGUAACUGUUCACGCAGUGACGGUAUCCAACCAGAAAGUCACGGCUAACUACGUGCUAGCAGCCGCGGUAAUCUGAGCGGGCUGGCAAGGC
rnacentral:rRNA from 1 species